CUGGCAGUUCCCUACUCUCGCAUGGGGAGACCCCACACUACCAUCGGCGCUACGGCGUUUCACUUCUGAGUUCGGCAUGGGGUCAGGUGGGACCACCGCGCUAAGGCCGCCA
rnacentral:rRNA from 1 species